CGACAUCCAGCGAACUUGGCAGAGAUGCCUUGGUGCCUUCGGGAACGCUGAGACAGGUGCUGCAUGGCUGUCGUCAGCUCGUGUUGUGAAAUGUUGGGUUAAGUCCCGCAACGAGCGCAACCCUUAUCCUUUGUUGCCAGCGAUUCGGUCGGGAACUCAAAGGAGACUGCCGGUGAUAAACCGGAGGAAGGUGGGGAUGACGUCAAGUCAUCAUGGCCCUUACGAGUAGGGCUACACACGUGCUACAAUGGCGCAUACAAAGAGAAGCGACCUCGCGAGAGCAAGCGGACCUCAUAAAGUGCGUCGUAGUCCGGAUCGGAGUCUGCAACUCGACUCCGUGAAGUCGGAAUCGCUAGUAAUCGUGGAUCAGAAUGCCACGGUGAAUACGUUCCCGGGCCUUGUACACACCGCCCGUCACACCAUGGGAGUGGGUUGCAAAAGAAGUAGGUAGCUUAACCUCCGGGAGGGCGCUUACCACUUUGUGAUUCAUGACUGGGGUGAAGUCGUAACAAGGUAGGCGUAGAUGA
rnacentral:rRNA from 1 species